AGGACGAACGCUGGCGGCGUGCUUAACACAUGCAAGUCGAGCGGAAAGGCCCUUCGGGGUACUCGAGCGGCGAACGGGUGAGUAACACGUGAGCAACCUGCCCUCAGUUCUGGGAUAGCUCCCGGAAACGGGAAUUAAUACCGGACAUGACCUUCUCCUGCAUGGGGGAGGGUGGAAAGUUUUUCGGCCAGGGAGGGGCUCGCGGCCUAUCAGCUUGUUGGGGGGGUAACGGCCCACCAAGGCGACGACGGGUAGCC
rnacentral:rRNA from 1 species